GACGAACGCUGGCGGCGUGCUUAACACAUGCAAGUCGAACGGAAAGGCCCUGAUUUUGUUGUGUGCUCGUGUGGCGAGCAGGUGUGUAUCACGUGUGUAAACUGUCCUUGACUUUGGGAUAACUUUAGGGAGCUGGGUCUCUUAUAGCGUAUGAGCUUCUGUUGCAUGGUUGGGGUUGGAGAGUUUCGCCGGUUCGGGAUGGAAUCGAGGUUUUUCAGCUUGUUGGUGGGUAAGUGGCUUAAUAAGGCUUUGACGGGUAGCCGGCCUGAGAGGGUGACCGGCCACAGUGGGACUGAGGAGCGGCCCAGACUGCUUCGGGAGGCAGCAGUGGGGAAUAUUGCACAAUGGGCGGAAGCCUGAUGCAGCAACGCCGCGUGCGAGAUGACGGCCUUAAGGUUGUAAACCGCUUGCGCCUGUGAAGAAGCGUGAGUGACGGUAAUGGAUAAAGAAGCAACGGCUAACUACGUG
rnacentral:rRNA from 1 species